rnacentral:rRNA from 1 species
CCUACGGGGGGCAGCAGUGAGGAAUAUUGGUCAAUGGGAGAGAUCCUGAACCAGCCAAGCCGCGUGAGGGAAGACGGCCCUAUGGGUUGUAAACCUCUUUUGUCGGAGAACAAAACCCGGGACGUGUCCCGGACUGCGUGUAUCCGAAGAAAAAGCAUCGGCUAACUCCGUGCCAGCAGCCGCGGUAAUACGGAGGAUGCGAGCGUUAUCCGGAAUUACUGGGCGUAAAGGGCGCGUAGGUGGGCGCUUAAGUCAGGUGU